rnacentral:rRNA from 1 species
CCUACGGGCGGCAGCAGUGAGGAAUAUUGGUCAAUGGGCGAGAGCCUGAACCAGCCAAGUAGCGUGAAGGAUGACUGCCCUAUGGGUUGUAAACUUCUUUUAUAAAGGAAUAAAGUCGGGUAUGGAUACCCGUUUGCAUGUACUUUAUGAAUAAGGAUCGGCUAACUCCGUGCCAGCAGCCGCGGUAAUACGGAGGAUCCGAGCGUUAUCCGGAUUUAUUGGGUUUAAAGGGAGCGCAGACGGGAGAUUAAGUCAGUUGUGAAAGUUUGCGGCUCAACCGUAAAAUUGCAGUUGAUACUGGUUUCCUUGAGUGCAGUUGAGGCAGGCGGAAUUCGUGGUGUAGCGGUGAAAUGCUUAGAUAUCACGCAGAACCCCGAUUGCGAAGGCAGCCUGCUAGGGUGCGACAGACGCUGAGGCACGAAAG